rnacentral:rRNA from 1 species
GGACGGGUGAGUAACGCGUGGGUAACCUACCCCAAAGUCCGGGAUAACAGCGGGAAACCGCUGCUAAUACCGGAUGUCUUUACCUUGGGGCAUCUUGAGGUAAAGAAAGGUAACGCUUUGGGAUGGGCCCGCGUCCCAUUAGCUAGUUGGUGAGGUAACGGCUCACCAAGGCGACGAUGGGUAGCCGGCCUGAGAGGGUGGACGGCCACACUGGGACUGAGACACGGCCCAGACUCCUACGGGAGGCAGCAGUAGGGAAUAUUGCGCAAUGGACGGAAGUCUGACGCAGCGACGCCGCGUGAGUGAUGAAGGUCUUCGGAUCGUAAAGCUCUGUCCUUGGGGAAGAAGGUCUUCGGACUUGACGGUACCCAAGAAGAAAGCCCCGGCUAACUACGUGCCAGCAGCCGCGGUAAUACGUAGGGGGCGAGCGUUGUCCGGAAUUACUGGGCGUAAAG